GAUGAACGCUGGCGGCGUGCUUAAUACAUGCAAGUCGAACGGAGACAGUAGCAAUAUUGUCUUAGUGGCGAACGGGUGAGUAACGCGUUGGUGACCUGCCCCGAAGCGGGGGAUAACAGUCCGAAAGGAUUGCUAAUACCCCAUGUGGUCGUUUGGAUUAGAUGCCUUACGACUAAACGGAUUUAUUCGCUUCGGGAGGGGCCUGCGUCCCAUCAGCUAGUUGGUAAGGUAAUGGCCUACCAAGGCGAUGACGGGUAGGGGACCUGAGAGGGUGGCCCCCCACAAUGGAACUGAAACACGGUCCAUACACCUACGGGUGGCAGCAGUAGGGAAUAUUGGUAAUCUGGGAAACCGGGAACCAGCAACGCCGCGUGCGCGAUGAAGGCCUUCGGGUUGUAAAGCGCUUUUUGAGGGGAUGAGGAAGGACAGUACCCUCAGAAUAAGCCUCGGCUAACUACGUGCCAGCAGCCGCGGUAAAACGUAGGAGGCGAGCGUUAUCCGGAUUUACUGGGCGUAAAGCGUGUGUAGGCGGUUUGAUAAGUUGGAUGUGAAAGCUCCCGGCUUAACUGGGAGAGGUCGUUCAAAACUAUCAGACUCGAGAGUGGUAGAGGGAGGUGGAAUUCCGCGUGUAGUGGUGAAAUGCGUAGAUAUGCGGAGGAACACCAGUGGCGAAAGCGGCCUCCUGGCCCAUUUCUGACGCUCAGACACGAAAGCUAAGGUAGCAAACGGGAUUAGAGACCCCGGUAGUCUUAGCUGUAAACGAUGUGAACUUAGUGUCGGUGGGGUUAAAUCCAUCGGUACUGAAGCAAACGCGAUAAGUUCACCGCCUGGGGACUACGGCCGCAAGGUUAA
rnacentral:rRNA from 1 species